AUGAUAGUCCAAUGAUGAUCCAGC
rnacentral:miRNA from 1 species